rnacentral:lncRNA from 1 species
CAAAUUUGAGUUCGCCUCAGCCUAUUAUUGUUCACCAAAAUUAAAUAUUAAAUGAUGUAUAAAAUAUGUCACAUACAUUUUAAGUUCUCAGUACAAUUAUUAUGCCACACCGUUUCAUAAUUUGAUUAGGCUUACGACUAAUUCGUAUCACCACUUUAUACCCAUGUUCUCUCUGCUAGUCCCAGCUACACUUUUAUUACCUGAAAGGGGUGGUGAAGUAAAAGGGUGAGCACAAAUAGCCCAGUAAAGAAUAUCAUGACUUAAGAUAAUUAAAUUAUCAAAAUAAUUCAGAUAUUUAGAACAUAUGGUAGAAGAUAAAAGUUUUCAACCAUAAUAGCAGCGGAAUCAACAAUCCAUUAGAAGAGUCAAGUAGAAUAUAAUGUCUACUAUCUCCUCUAGAUUAAAAGUACAUUGUUAACAUUUCAUUCCUGUAAUACUCAUUAAUAGUUCUUUGUUAUACCCAAGACAAAGAGAACUCUCAUCACCUGUCUUCACCUGAACCACCACAGAUUAUAAUUAAAUUCACAAUUCAUAUUUAUAAUCAGGUAAAUCAACAAUCCAUCUUUGCAAUACAAGCCUAAGACAUACAACUGUAAACCAAUAACGCUGAGACUCAGCUCAAUAGUAUCAUGACCACGAAUAAUCCAUGCACUACAGGCCAAGGAUAUUCAUGUUUUUACCAAUGGUCAUGAUUAUACCAAAUAAUUCCUGGUCAUAAUCAUGUCAAUCAACAGUCCAUCUAUGCACAACUGGUCAAAGAUGACUUUUAUCACAUCAUUUGUAACAUUACGGUCAUGAUUAUACCGAAUAAUCUCUGGUCAUAAUCAUACCAAGUCCAUCUAUGCAUUACGGGCCAAAGAUGACUUUUACCACAUCAUUUAUAACAUUAUGGUCAUGAUUAUACCGAAUAAUUCCUGGUCAUAAUCAUACCAAGUCCAUCUAUGCACUACAUGCCAAAGAUGACUUUCAUCACAAUAUAAGCAUGAGGAUAAUGACAAUAAUAUAUAUAAUGAAUAAACAUAAAUAAUCAAAAUAAUAAGAUAACAUAGAUCUUAGUGAUUUUUAACUUAAUUAUCCAAAGUCCAAGUUGCUAACAUAAUAUUAGAUUAAGCAUAAACUAUUAAGGAUAUUCUAAUCCUUUCAGGACUUUUCACCAUUUGAUGAUAAACUGAAUAAACGCAUAAAAUAUCUUACCAUAAUAUGGAGUAUGAAAGAAAAUGAUAUUCCUUUUACCAUAAAAAUGAUACCCUCUUACCACAAUAAUGAUAUCCCUUACCUUAGCAUGUAACUUGAUUCUGCUUUCUAUGAAAUUGAUCAACUUAAACAAUGUUUGCAUUCCUUAUCUACACUUGGAGUAACAUUACACUCAAUACAAAUACUCACAAUAUUAUACUCACAAUAUUGUAGUAAAAUAAUUCUAUAUUUCUAGUGUAGUGAUGGUGUGUGUUUAGUUACUCAACCGAGCUACCUAUUUAUACUAAAAAUUUAGUAAACAAUUAGCACACCCGCUUUGAUAAAAUAAUCAAAUGAGGUAUAUAAUAAUGGUAGUGGAAUUUAUGGUCCCACGGGGAAAAUUAAACCAACUUGUACACGUUUUAAAAAUAAUUGAGUUGUGGUCCAGACUACUUUAGAAAAAGUAGAGUGUCGACAAGUCCUGCCAAACGUACUUUUGUAAAAAGAAAAUAAUUGAACAAACAUCUGUAUAUCAUACUUAUCUUUAAUCAACACCUUUUAUUCAUCAAUUAUUUACACAUUUUCAAUCUUUGAACCAUUUUCCCAAUUAUUAACAUAGACUCACAAUACUGCCAACUGGUUCAAUUAUAUCAUAUCAAAUAAUAUGAGUCACUGUGCAAUAACUACUGUGACAAUUAUUGAAUAAAAAACUGAGUGACUUCUUACAUAAUUAAGAAUCAAUAAUAUGAGUCACUGUGCAAUAACUACUAUGACAUUAUAGAAUAAAAUACAUAGUGACUUCUUACGUAAGAAUCAAAUCAAUACCUUACUAUAAACAAUUUAAAUUCUAUUAAAAUUAGGGAUCAACACCAAAUCAUAUUUAUCUCGAAUAACAUAUAAACCAACUAAUAAUUCAUUAUUCAUUCAAGUUGUCUUUAUUUAUCGCAUAACAUCAUUAUUCAUAUUCCAAAACAUUAGAAGUAAAUAAAACUAGAGAAAUCUAAAAUCUCAUAUAUGACAAUCCACUAUUCUGGUAUUAUCACCAUUUUUAUUUUAACAAAAAUAUUAUUUUGUUUUUAUCAUAACUCAUUUUUUACUUGUGCGUUUACAUCCCGAUACCUCAUGAACUUACUAACACUUCUAAAAUAUUUAAAAUAGUAUUCUGAACUUUUCAAAAAAUUCUCACAAUUUUUCAGAUUAUCCAAAAAUUUUCUAUAAUUAUUUCUAUUUAUAAAAACUAUCAUUUAAUAACUUCAAAAUAGAAAUACAAACUCCACAUACUUUUAUAUCUUUAAAAAUAUCAUCAAUAUUAAUAUUACAUUAUUAUAAUAAUUUUUAGCAAAAUUCAUAAUUUUUCACCAUUCAUAGAAUUUUUUAUGAAUUUUCUCUAUUUUUAAACUAACCAUAAAUAGAUUAAAAAUACAAUAAAUAUUUCUGUUAUUCAAUAAUUUCUCAAAACUGCCCAUAAAUUAUAAAAUAAUAUUAUAUGAUUUUUCACCAACUUUCAUAAUUUUUCAUCAUUCAUCGAAUUUUCUAUGAAUUUCUUCUAAUUUCAAACUAACUUUAAAUAGUUUAAAAAUAUAAUAAUUACUUCUGCUUUUCAAUAAUUCAUCAAAAUUUUACAGAAACUCUAAGAUGAUAUUAUAAGCAUUCUGUAAAAAUAUUUCAGCCCAAAUAAUUUUUCUGAUAAAUUAAUUAUAAACUCCAAUAUUCAGAAAUUUCAAUAAUUCAUAAUCAUUAGCACUUUUAUAAGAAAAAUACAGAUCUUAAGUCCUUUUCAUGUAAAAUUUAAUUCUCUACAACUUUGUAGAAGAAAGUUUUACCAAAUUCUGACUCUAACAUAGAGAGAAGGCUUACCGAAAAAUUAUGCUACAAAACUUUUCUGAAUCAGUCACCUCCUUAAAUUCAUAACAAAUCAUACGUUAAUCUUUAAUGGUUCAAAAUUUGUGGGCAUAUACUCAACUUAUAAAUGUAUAAUAUACCCAAAAUGUACAACGAUCCAACGGUCGGAUUAAAAAUUAUAACUCACGCAAUAUAGCUUAAGAACACUGAUUUUUUGGACUAUGAGUCCUUCGGACCAAUUUCACUCAAAUAGCCACCACAAAAAAUCCACAAAGAAUUUUUGGGUGAUUCAAAUGUUUGCGUUUAGCUUACUUCCAGGGCUUUCUUUUGAUGUAUGACUCAUCUCCUAAUUCAUUAUACACAAAGAGUUAUGGAUUUUACAAAAUCAAGUAGUAAACUAAUUUUUUUGAAAAUCUCCAUCUUUUGUUCUUCUUUUAAUUUCUUGAUUUCUCUCGUUUGAUCCUUGUUUAUACAAGUUUAAAUCAUCUAAAUCAAGUAUGAACAAAAUCUCUUCAUAUAAAAUUCAUGAAAACUUAAAUAGAAAAAUAAAUCAAAGGUUUAAACAUACCUUUCUUGAUUUCUUGAUUCCUUAAUUUCUUCUUCUUCUUCUUCUUCUUCUUCUUCUUCUCUCUCUCUCUCUCUCUCUUUUCUUUUCUAAACUUUGGCUACGGAAGGAAGC